rnacentral:rRNA from 1 species
GUGGGGCAACCUGCCGCUGGAACUUAUCAAAAACCUUUUUUUGCAUCUAGCAUUACCUGUUCUGAUACAAACAAUCGUUACAACUUUCAACAAUGGAUCUCUUGGCUCUGGCAUCGAUGAAGAACGCAGCGAAAUGCGAUAAGUAGUGUGAAUUGCAGAAUUCAGUGAAUCAUCGAAUCUUUGAACGCACAUUGCGCCCCUCGGUAUUCCGUGGGGCAUGCCUGUUCGAGCGUCAUCUACACCCUCAAGCUCUGCUUGGUGUUGGGCGUCUGUCCCGCCUCUGCGCGCGGACUCGCCCCAAAUUCAUUGGCAGCGGUCCUUGCCCCCUCUCGCGCAGCACAUUGCGCUUCUCGAGGGGCGCGGCCCGCGUCCACGAAGCAAACAUUACCGUCUUUGACCUCGGAUCAGGUAGGGAUACCCGCUGAACUUA